UACGGAGGGAGCUAGCGUUGUUCGGAAUUACUGGGCGUAAAGCGUGCGCAGGCGGUUUUGUAAGCCAGAUGUGAAAGCCCCGGGCUUAACCUGGGAAUGGCAUUUGGGACUGCAAGGCUUGAGUGCGGCAGAGGAGACUGGAAUUCCUGGUGUAGCAGUGAAAUGCGUAGAUAUCAGGAGGAAUACCGAUGGCGAAGGCAGGUCUCUGGGCUGACACUGACGAUCAUGCACGAAAGCGUGGGGAGCAAACAGG
rnacentral:rRNA from 1 species